AGAGUUUGAUCCUGGCUCAGGAUGAACGCUGGCGGCGUGCCUAACACAUGCAAGUCGAACGAAGCUUGACGGAUGAUUUCUUCGGAAUGAAACCAGAUAUGACUUAGUGGCGGACGGGUGAGUAACGCGUGAGGAACCUGCCUUUCAGAGGGGGAUAACGGCUGGAAACGGUCGCUAAUACCGCAUGAAGUGUUCGGAUGGCAUCAUCUGAACAUCAAAGAUUUAUCGCUGAAAGAUGGGCUCGCGUCUGAUUAGAUAGUUGGUGGGGUAACGGCCUACCAAGUCGACGAUCAGUAGCCGGACUGAGAGGUUGAACGGCCACAUUGGGACUGAGAUACGGCCCAGACUCCUACGGGAGGCAGCAGUGGGGAAUAUUGCACAAUGGGGGAAACCCUGAUGCAGCAACGCCGCGUGAAGGAUGACGGUUUUCGGAUUGUAAACUUCUUUUCUUAGUGACGAAGACAGUGACGGUAGCUAAGGAAUAAGCAUCGGCUAACUACGUGCCAGCAGCCGCGGUAAUACGUAGGAUGCAAGCGUUAUCCGGAUUUACUGGGUGUAAAGGGAGCGCAGGCGGGACUGCAAGUUGGAUGUGAAAUACCGUGGCUUAACCACGGAACUGCAUCCAAAACUGUAGUUCUUGAGUGAAGUAGAGGCAAGCGGAAUUCCGAGUGUAGCGGUGAAAUGCGUAGAUAUUCGGAGGAACACCAGUGGCGAAGGCGGCUUGCUGGGCUUUAACUGACGCUGAGGCUCGAAAGUGUGGGGAGCAAACAGGAUUAGAUACCCUGGUAGUCCACACUGUAAACGAUGAUAGCUAGGUGUGGGGGGUCUGACCCCUUCCGUGCCGGAGUUAACGCAAUAAGCUAUCCACCUGGGGAGUACGACCGCAAGGUUGAAACUCAAAGGAAUUGACGGGGGCCCGCACAAGCAGUGGAUUAUGUGGUUUAAUUCGAAGCAACGCGAAGAACCUUACCAGGUCUUGACAUCCAACUA
rnacentral:rRNA from 1 species